ACAACGAAGUAAUUCCAAAAGAAUAAUUUGUUUAGCUUCUGUAAAAGUGUUGUUUGUUGACUUCCAAACAAGCGAAAAGAAUUCAAUUUUGUAUAAAAAUUUAAGCUGAUCAUGUUCGACAACUUUCUGCAAAGCUAUGGGCAUAACACUUGGAUGCAUUUUAUUUAGCAUGCCUUUUCCAGCUAUAACAUCUACGGCGGCAUUACUUUGGGCACAUAUUAAGAUUUUCUUAUCCAAAUAACGUACCUCUUCGCCGUAUAGUGUUUGUAGAGCAAGAUUGGUGAUAACACAACUUUUACCCGUACCGGGAGGGCCUUGUAUUAAGGUUACAUUCGGUGUAGUUUCAUCAAUAAUUUUCAUGUGGUGGUCUACAUUUUAGUAAUUCCAAGGGAUUUACAAGUUUCUGAAAAAGCGGAGUUGACUGCAAUUGAUAGACGGCGUUAAAUGCACCAAAAUGUACACGUACUUUAUCCAUAACAGGACGUACAUGAAAUUCUUUA